GCCCGUCUAGCUCAGUCGGUAGAGCGCAAGGCUCUUAACCUUGUGGUCGUGGGUUCGAUCCCCACGGUGGGCG
rfam:Nelumbo nucifera unplaced genomic scaffold scaffold00071, whole genome shotgun sequence